rnacentral:lncRNA from 1 species
AACUAGAAACAUUGGCCUUAUGCCAUUGCAUUUUUAAACUUCUUUUCUUAAUCAAACUUAUAAAUAGACUUAAUUAUAUUUGACCUAAACUUUCAAAAAGCCAAAAAGAACUAACUCAUUCAAACCAUUUUUAGGCCUUUGUGCCUUUCAAACUUAAUUUUUGUUAAAAGCAAUGCAUCCACUUUGAAAUUUAUACCAUGAACUACG